UGGGGAAUUUUGGACAAUGGGCGAAAGCCUGAUCCAGCAAUGCCGCGUGUGUGAAGAAGGCCUUCGGGUUGUAAAGCACUUUUGUCCGGAAAGAAAUCCUUGGCUCUAAUACAGUCGGGGGAUGACGGUACCGGAAGAAUAAGCACCGGCUAACUACGUGCCAGCAGCCGCGGUAAUACGUAGGGUGCAAGCGUUAAUCGGAAUUACUGGGCGUAAAGCGUGCGCAGGCGGUCCGCUAAGACAGAUGUGAAAUCCCCGGGCUUAACCUGGGAACUGCAUUUGUGACUGGCGGGCUAGAGUAUGGCAGAGGGGGGUAGAAUUCCACGUGUAGCAGUGAAAUGCGUAGAGAUGUGGAGGAAUACCGAUGGCGGAGGCAGCCCCCUGGGCCAAUACUGACGCUCAUGCACGAAAGCGUGGGGAGCAAACAGGAUUAGAUACCCUGGUAGUCCACGCCCUAAACGAUGUCAACUAGUUGUCGGGUCUUCAUUGACUUGGUAACGUAGCUAACGCGUGAAGUUGACCGCCUGGGGAGUACGGUCGCAAGAUUAAAAACUUAAAUGAAUUGAC
rnacentral:rRNA from 1 species